AAUAUUGGACAAUGGGGGGAACCCUGAUCCAGCCACGCCGCGUGUGUGAAGAAGGCCUUUUGGUGUUAAAGCACUUUAAGCGAGGAGGAGGGUACGCAGAUUAAAACUCUAGGUUCGUGGACGUUACUCGCAGAAUAAGCCCCGGCUAUCCCUGUCCGCGCAGCCGCGGUAAUACAGAGGGUGCAAGCGUUAAUCGGAUUUACUGGGCGUAAAGCGCGCGUAGGUGGCCAAGUAAGUCAAAUGUGAAAUCCCCGAGCUUAACUUGGGAAUUGCAUUCGAUACUGGUUGGCUAGAGUAUGGGAGAGGAUGGUAGAAUUCCAGGUGUAGCGGUGAAAUGCGUAGAGAUCUGGAGGAAUACCGAUGGCGAAGGCAGCCAUCUGGCCUAAUACUGACACUGAGGUGCGAAAGCAUGGGGAGCAAACA
rnacentral:rRNA from 1 species